UGUCCAGUAGUACCUUAGAGACCAAGUAAGUUUGUUCUUGGUAUGAGCUUUUUUGUGCAUGCACACUUCACACGAAAACUAAAGAAUAAACUUAGUUGGUCUCUAAGGUGCUACUGGACA